UCCCGUGUGGCUCAGUUGGUAGAGCAUGGUGUUUGCAACGCCAGGGUUUUAGGGGGUCGAUUCCCACGGGGG
rnacentral:tRNA from 1 species